UACGUAGGGGGCUAGCGUUGCUCGGAAUCACUGGGCGUAAAGGGUGCGUAGGCGGGUCUUUAAGUCAGGGGUGAAAUCCUGGAGCUCAACUCCAGAACUGCCUUUGAUACUGAAGAUCUUGAGUUCGGGAGAGGUGAGUGGAACUGCGAGUGUAGAGGUGAAAUUCGUAGAUAUUCGCAAGAACACCAGUGGCGAAGGCGGCUCACUGGCCCGGUACUGACGCUGAGGUGCGAAAGCGUGGGGAGCAAACAGG
rnacentral:rRNA from 1 species